CGGGCUAUGGCGCAGUUGGCUAGCGCGCACGCAUGGGGUGCGUGAGGUCGUGAGUUCAAGUCUCACUAGCCCGACCA
rnacentral:tRNA from 1 species